ACGAACGCUGGCGGCGUGCUUCACCCAUGCCAGUCGAACGGAAAGGCCCUGCUUUUGUGGGGUGCUCGAGUGGCGAACGGGUGAGUAACACGUGAGUAACCUGCCCUUGACUUUGGGAUAACUUCAGGAAACUGGGGCUAAUACCGGCUAGGAGCUCCUGCUGCAUGGUGGGGGUUGGAAAGUUUCGGCGGUUGGGGAUGGACUGGCGGCUUAUCAGCUUGUUGGUGGGGUAGUGGCUUACCAAGGCUUUGACGGGUAGCCGGCCUGAGAGGGUGACCGGCCACAUUGGGACUGAGCUGCGGCCCAGACUCCUACGGGAGGCAGCGGUGGGGAAUGUUGCACAAUGGGCGGAAGCCUGAUGCAGCAACGCCGCGUGCGGGAUGACGGCCUUCGGGUUGUGAACCGCUUUCGCCUGUGACGAAGCGUGAGUGACGGUAAUGGGUAAAGAAGCACCGGCUAACUACGUG
rnacentral:rRNA from 1 species